AGCAGCCGCGGUAAUUCCAGCUCCAAUAGCGUAUAUUAAAGUUGUUGCAGUUAAAAAGCUCGUAGUUGAAUUUCGGGGUUAGUAAGUUGGUCAUGCCUCUGGUAUGCACUGGCUUUACUGAUUCCUCCUUCUUGAUGAACUGUAAUGUCAUUAAUUUGGUGUUGCAGGGAAUCAGGACUGUUACUUUGAAAAAUUAGAGUGUUUAAAGCAGGCAUACGCUUGAAUACAUUAGCAUGGAAUAAUGAAAUAGGACGUUUGAUCCUAUUUUGUUGGUUUCUAGGAUUGACGUAAUGAUUAAUAGGGAUAGUUGGGGGCAUUAGUAUUCAAUUGUCAGAGGUGAAAUUCUUGGAUUUAUUGAAGACUAACUACUGCGAAAGCAUUUGCCAAGGAUGUUUUCAUUAAUCAAGAACGAAAGUUAGGGGAUCGAAGACGAUCAGAUACCGUCGUAGUCUUAACCAUAAACUAUGCCGACUAGGGAUCGGAUGAUGUUAUUUUUAAUGUACUCAUUC
rnacentral:rRNA from 1 species